rnacentral:tRNA from 1 species
AUAGUUCAGUUGGUAGAGUGUUUGCCUUGCACACAGAAGGCCUUGGGUUCAAUCCCCAGU